rnacentral:lncRNA from 1 species
GUCACAGUGCUGAGCCUCUCCUUGGAGUUCGGGAUGGAGAAACGGACAUGCUGGAGGAGGGUUCUCUUCAGAGAGGCCACACAACCCGACAAGCAUGCAAAAGUUGAAGCGCUGUAGUGAGCACACUGCAGUGUUAAAGCAGGGAAACGUCCUAGAGGGAAAAGCUGCAGAAGCCUUUGGUGGUGAUCAAGCUGGAAGAGGAGCUGACAGGGUGCAUCAUGGGAGAAUGCCAUCGGGAGCUCCCUGCUAGCAGCAUGGUAGACGAGCAGCCCUCCCUCGCCCCUAAGGAGGAGUGGUGUGCUCCCCUGGUCUUCAUGUCUGGAGGGAACCAGCAGGAGGUGCAGACCUGGUCUGGCAGCGGUCUGGUCGGUGGUCCGUCGCCCAGAGGGGGAGCAGGCUUCCUGCUGGGUGGGGUCUCGAGGCCGGCUCCUGGUCGUGACGCUGCUAGGGGAGACAGCCUAGCAAAGGGAAGCAGGUCCAUCAAAAUGGGCGCACCCCGACGCCUCUCUCCCCCGCCUCCUCACCCCCCGGCCAACGGGAGGAGCAAAGGACGCCAUUGGCUCCUCGCCGCUCUCCCUCCAGAACAAGAACCCCCCCCCUCCUCCUCCUCCUCCUCCUCCUCGUCCGUGAAGCGGACCCACCGGAACGGUCGAGACCCCGCUCACCCGUGGGUCUUCAGCUGUCCAAUGUGCAGGAAGGACUUCUCCACCUCCAAAGGGCUGACGGUGCACCAGCGGCUGAGCCACGGCCCCGGCAGAAGCCAGCGCGCCGUGCGGCCGUUCAGCUGCAGCGUGUGCGGGAAACACUUCCUGCGGUCGAGCAGCCUCAAGCCGCACAUGAGCAUCCACGUGGGGGAGCCCUACGCCUGCACGCAGUGCGGCCGCCGCUACUCCUGCCGGGGGAACCUGGGCCGACACCAGGCCCUCUGCAACGCCGCGUCGUCCACGUAG